AGCCCAGAGAAAUUUGGAUUAAUACCUCAUAGUAUAGUGAGUUGGCAUCAACACACUAUUAAAGUCACAACGGUAAAAGAUGAGCAUGCGUCCCAUUAGCUAGUUGGUAAGGUAACGGCUUACCAAGGCAACGAUGGGUAGGGGUCCUGAGAG
rnacentral:rRNA from 1 species